CCAACCCAACGCUGCCAAGCUCCUGCGUCCUGUCCAGGGAAAUUGUCCUUAGGCAGCCCCUUCGCUCACGCCCGGGAACUUCCAGUACCUUAUUCCUCUACCCACAGUCCUGGGGACCCCAUAGGUAGGCUGGAGAUCGGCCCACCGGCCCCUGACCCCCGCCCGGCCGCCUGCACCUCUCUGUCCCAGAGGCUGGGCUGGCGAGGGACCACUCACCCCGCGGAUAUCCCAGUAACCCAGAACCAUAGACUUGGAUGACAUUUUGGGCGAUCUUAGCCCCUUCGGGGAUACAGCGAUGGACUGUGGGCGGCUAACUUUAUACUGGACGCUGUGGGCCGGGCUGACGCGACCGAACUGUCUCCUCCUCUCUCGCUCUAUGCUCCACCCGCCCUCCGCGUGGUCAGUGGGCGGUGCGCAGGCGCAGCUGCUGCGGCUCCUGAAAUCCUCCGGUGUGAACUUCUCCCAGGGCUGUUGAUGCUUCAUCUACUCUUCUGGCAGUGGGGGCCUGGACCUUAGUUACCCGGGAAGCGUGAGUCAUGUUGCACAGUUGAGCUGGCACAUAAAACUACGAGGUAGGAAACGAUUCAGGUAUAAGGUACUUUGGGGAUAGAAACAUUUUCUAUGUAAGAUACAAAUGGCUCUGUGAAGACUGAGGGAGGCUGGGGACACUAAACAGGUCCACUGUGAAAAAGGAUAGGUCAUGCACAUUGGAAAUGCCUCAAAGGACACUCCAGGAAAGAGGAGGGUAGAGCAAACACCGAAAGGUGACAAAUAGCUAUGCAAGAUAAACAGCAGGUGCUGUCGAGUUAGGCUGGUUUAUGGGAGGAGUCAAAACAUUAAGCAUUUGGGGCAGGUUGCAAAGGGUAUGGACAGCCAGACAGACAGAGGGUGUGAGUGUUUUCUCUCUGCUCUGUGGGGAGUGUAUAGGAUCUAGAUCAUAAUGUUCACUAGCAGUAUAAUGCAAGACAGACAUAUGAUUGUUUUUAAAUGGUUUGCUUCUAGUUUUUUUUUUUUUAAGGAGGCAAUGAAUCCAUAGUAUACUUACGUAGCCCAAUAUAUACUGUUUCAGAAUGUAGUAUGAAAAUUAUUGAGAUGUCUUCUAUUUUUUUGUUUUAGUACCUUACAUUUAAAACACAACUCCACUAAGGGUAACCUCAUCUUUUAAAAAAGAUUUAUUUAUUCAUUUUAUAUAUGUGAGUAUACUGUCGCUCUCUCUCUUCAGUCACACCAGAAGAGGGCAUUGGAUCCCACUAUAGACUGUUGUGAGCCACCUUGUGGUUGCUGGGAAUUGAACUCAGGACCUCUGGAAGAGCAGUUGGUGCUCUUAACUGCUGAGUCAUCUCUCCAGCCCCAGGUAACCUCAUUCUGAUGCUCAGGAUCCACAAGUUAGUCGGAAAAUGAUAAGCAUAUUGUGGAGUAAAACAGCACAAAAGGGGAAAGGCCCCUUGCGGGUGGGACCAUCCCUGGGCUGGGUGUCUUGGGUUCUAUAAGAGGGCAGGCUGAGCAAGCCAGGGGAAGCAAGCCAGUAAGGAACAGCCCUUCAUGGCCUCUUCAUCAGCUCCUGCUUCCUGACCUGCUUGAGUUCCAGUCCUGACUUCUUUCAGUGAUGAACAGCAAUGUGGAAAUGUAAGCUGAAUAAACCCUUUCCUCCCCAACUGCUUCUUGGUCAUGAUGUUUGUGCAGGAAUAGAAAUCCUGACUAAGACACCAGGCCUCCCGGAGCCCCAAGUCUGGGUGUGGGAAAUUAUGUCUCCCCGUUAGUUUAACUGACUCAAACUUCAGACUUUGUAAAAGGACAUUUUUCUAAAAUAAAGAAGAAAUGGUACAGAGACAUGUGACUGUAUAAUGCCUGGGUUGAUUCCUCCCAAGAAAACAAAAGCCAGCAACAAAUUAACUUGAGCCACGAGUCUAAAACUUCUAGAGUAGUCUAAGUAUUCUACUUGUUUCAUGAUAUAUCCCAAUUCAGGCUAAAUAACUUUGUGAUUAGGUGUUCUGCCCAGUUUAUAGAACAAGGAAUUGAAGCUUGGAGAAGAUUGAUGGACCACUCAAGUUCCCUGGAUGGUCCAGGAUGCAGACUGAGGAUGGCCUAAAACAUUAGUUUUGCUGGCUCCCUGUGCUUGGCUAACUUUAGAGCCUCUUACCUUGCCACAGUCUUUUCUAUGAAGGACAGAGAGCCAAGGAGUGGACCAACAUGCCUGAGUUUACACAGUGGACCUGAGGACCGUCACCUCCCAGUGCAAUGUUCCUGUGUACUGCCACUGAAGAGACAGGUGGGAGGGAGCUCAAGGUUGACUUGCCUAACAACCAUUGCUUGAAAGACAAAGCUCCCAAGGAGAGCACAAAAUACCUCACUCGAGACUCCUCUGCAUCACCAACCAGUGUGAAGAAAGCCUGCAGCUGUCAGCAGAGUAUUCUUUGUCUCGGUGACACGCUGUGCCUACAGUUGGACUAGAAACUUUGGAUUAGGGUGUGAGUCGUGCCCCAUAGGACAGAGGUGGUGCAUGUAGCCUCAUUUUGGAGUUUAUUUAGAGAGGAGAAAGAAUGUACCAUAGUCCCCAAAGGCUCUAGGUUACAGUGAAUUCUCUUUAGUUCAGUUAUAGUUUAGUUUAGCUUGGUUUGGUUAGCUGUGGUUCCGUUCUGUUCCGUUCUGUUCUGUUCGGUUCAGUUCGGUUCAGUUGCAGAGUUGUUGCUCUUUCAUGCUUUGCAUCCCAACUCCCUGCUCUCUCUUGGCUUUGGUUCCCAUCAGGUCCAGAAUAAAUGGCAAGGAGAGGGUCAUAGAACAAGUUAAACGAUGCUUUUUAUUGGCAGGAUUGGGACUAAAGAGAUCAGGAGUAAGACUGGGAAUAAGUAUGCCAACUUAGGGUGUGGGGUAAAAUAAAUAGUAACCGGUGAGGGUCUCCAACCCAAUGAGGUACCAUUUGCCUCAGUGUCUGGACCUGUUCAUCUUCUUUGCUUUGUGAUCCAGGAUAUGUGGCUUGCCACUAACUGAAAGAGGACUUCCAGGGGCUCUAACUGGGUACCAAAUACUCCAUCUUGCACAUGAGAGGUCCUUGGUCUUAGAGGUAUUCGAGCUGGUCUCUAAUGAGUCAUCUGAAGGGAGAAAACAAUUCAGAUGGGGCUGGUUCCUAGUGAGGGACUCCCCAGAGUUUAUAUCACCAAUGCGAUUAGAACUUCAAGACACACCUGAACGGAUGGAGCUGAGUCCCCAGAGGAAUAGCCCAUGCCUAGUGUCCCCAGCUCUCCCUUUCUCACCCCAGGAGAAUUAAAUUCCUCUGAAUAGGAGUCAGGAUCCCAGAGCUUCCUCACCCCCAGCAUCCUUCUGACAGCGUCCAGCCGGGCCUGGAUCCGUGGAGCCUCCUGUGGACACAGCAUCUGCAGCUCCCCAGGUCUCAUGUGAAGUAGCUGGCUUCCCAUUAGGGACCCGAGGGUCCUUACAGUGCUGUAAAUAACAAUGGUAGAAUCCACCAGAAGUAGGGUGGGCAGAUUCUAGGUCUUAGUAUUUGUGUAGAGAAGGAAAGUUGGGGUUACAGGAAUUAGGUAUCUGCAGGUACAGGGAUACACCUAGUGGUUUGGUCUCAGUGAACCACAGAACUCCGAGAUUUGAGGGCAGAAACACUUUAAAAAAGACUGGUCUGGAAGGGAAGGGUGGCUAAGGUGGGCAGCCCAAGUUCUUCCAGAAUUUGCUACCCUUGACUCUUUCUCUUUCACUACAUAUGGCCUCUGCACUGGGUGACCUACCCUAGGCUCAGACAAGCAGCUUUCAUUCAGCAGAGAAAGCCUAAGAUGGAGUCAUCAAGUACAGUGGAAGCUAGGUCACACUCUCUAACUCUGAGAGUGAAUGGAGCCUGUGGUUCUCCCAUUUACAGGGCUCACCGCCCCUCAUCCCCCAGGGGACUGGUCACUCACACAGUGGAGAAGUUCUCUGCUUGUAGCCAGGCUGUGACCUCCUCAGGCUUUGAGCUCAGGCGAAGCAUUGGGGCCUGGAAUCAAGGAGCACUAGAAGUCAGAGGUCAUCCCAUCUUACAAACAUACACAGCCUCCUGUAUUGGGUCCCUUCUACUGAGAUCCCAUCAGGAUGCUUAUCUCACCUUCUGGUUUCCUAGUUCGGCAGGGACGCUCACCUAAUCUUUGUUCAGACCCUAUAAUGAACUUGGCACCGAGGAAGCAUGCAAUGAUAUUGAUUAAACUGAACUAAGAUUGUCUCUGUUUGUCACCUAAUCCUCCCUACUACCACUUCUGACUUCUGACUUAGGACUCAGGGCUUCUGGGUACCCCAGCGUGGGAAGUACCCUAAAGGAUGGUUGUCGGUGGCCUCUCGGGGCUCCAGCUGGCAGGGGCUCCAGGAUAUUGCUGGGAAUGUAACCAGUCAGUCCUGCUUCGUUCUUCACCAGCCACCAUCGCUUGCUCUGAUCCAGAACCUACCGAGAAUCACCACAUUAGCCCCCAGAGCCUCCAUCCUCCCAUCCCCUCUGCCCCCAAGACCGUGUCUUUCCCCGCCUGACCUUUCCCACUUUCCUUCUCUAUCUGUAAGCCACCCACUCCAGGCUAAUUGUACUUCCCACCCAUUGCCUCUUUUUUGGCUUCAAGCAUGGGCCUCACCUCCAGAAUCUCCCCCUGUGCCACAGUCAGUUCCUGGGCAUUCCUUGCUUCAAACUCGUACAGGACUUGCAUUUUCAGGGCUGCUCUGCCAGGGCUGGGGCUGGAGAGUGGGAGGUUUGAGUCCUCGUAUUCAGGGUUAUGGUUGUAUGGCUCAUCCCGAGGGAAAUGUAGGCUGCUCCUCAUCCUAGAACCUCUGACAUGAGAGACAGAUUCAGGAUGGAUGGAGAAUAGGAAUUGUGCCCCCGGCCAAUGGUCUCUGGGAUUCACAGGUGCAAAGGUUCUGUCCUGACCCUCCCUCCCUGGGACCUCGAGAAUCCACUAAGCAUGUGACUGACAUACCGGAGGGAAAUCGAAUCCUGGUUUGUUAUGGGCAUCUGUAAGCAAGAAAACCAGAAUGAGUUAGAAUGGGAGGCAGCCAGCACAGUGGCAGGGAGGGGCUAACUAACCAGCCCAGUACAGGCCUGCAACAGCUGCCUUUUGUCCAUUGCUCACCUCCCCAACAGGUACCCAUAUAACCCACCUCGUAGUUGUGAUUUUGAUCUGGACUGGAAAUGCUUUUCAUAGAUCUCAGAGCUAAGCAACCCUUACCAUGGAGCGGGGCUGUGGAAUCUGCCAGCCAUCGUAGAAUGUGGGUUGGUAGGGUGGCGGUUCACUGCCUGUCCAGUCAGCCCUGAGGGGAGAGCAAAGCUGAGUCUAGGGCCACUGUGUAGCAGCCUGUAGGAUGUGGAAAGGGAGAAGAUGAGAAGACCUAGCCUCAGGGAUGUGUGGCUAACGGGGAUGUGGUGCGUGUGUAUACAGAUGAAAAGCUACAGGAAACCCACAAAGGAGCAAAUGGUUUCACAGGAACAUGUCUAACAGUGUAAGCAUCAGUGGGCAGCCUCAUCUUGAUUCCUAAGUACAGCUAUGUUGCCUCCCUAGAAUUAAAGUAAUUUAAUCUGGAGUAUUGGGGCUGGAAGACCCCUUUGGAGACUUGCAAAAACUGACCCUACCCCUUCUUAUUUAUUUGUUUAUUUAUUUAUAUUGAAAUAGAUUUUUUCAUACAAUAUAUUCUGAUUAUGGCUUCUUCUCCCCCAGCUUCUCCCAGAUCUUUCCCUAUCCCCACCCACCCAAAUUCACGCUCUUCCUUCCUUCCUUCCUUCCUUCCUUCCUUCCUUCCUUCCUUCCUUCCUUCCUUCCUUUACAAAUAGGCAUCUUAAAAAAUCAAAAUAAAAUAAAAUUAGAUAAAACAAAAACAAACAAUAAUAGGACAUAAACAAAUAGGAGGAAAAGAGCCAAAGAAAAGGCUCUGGAAAAGCAAAUAGAUGCAGUGACACACAUUGCCACGCACACUCCAGUGAAGUCUGCUUGACAGGCUGAGAGGCCUGGGAGCACUCACGAGGCAGAGAGUUUCAAAAGGAACUCACCUCCUGGAGCUUUGGCGUUCUCAUUAACCUGUACACUCAUACCCUAUCCCCGAGUUAGUCUAGUGUAUGGAUCCACGUGCUCUCUUUUAGUAUUAUUUUAUUAUAAGUGUCUUUUAAGAUUGAAUUCUGACAUAGCUAAAGCCUCCCACCAGUGUUCCAAUGUUCCAGAAGCCAACAAGCUUGGAAUCUGGUGGGAAUGCAGUAAUAAAGUUACCUAUUCAGUAACUAAUUAAGCAUUCCAAAAGACAGAGCCAGCAGCUCAGGGCUGGUCUGCAGAGUGUUUACUAAGGACAGUAGCCAGUCUCACCCAAACAAGGGAAUGCCAUGAAAGAGCUAGGGAAUCCCACUGAGACAGGGAUCUUCUCUACAGCCAGGUGUAGCAGGCUUUAUUACAUAUUAGAAGCAAGUUGGUAAAUUCUUCUGACAAAUGGAGAUUCUACACAGAUACUUAAAAGAACAGCCAAGAUACAAGAAUUUACUAAGGCCUAGGAAAUAGGGGGGUUGUGGUAUUGCAUUAUUCGUGAGAAGGUCUGCUAGAGCAGAACUCCCUGGUACUAGCCUUCACAAGGCUCAAAGGAGUAGCACAAAUUCUGACUAGGGUGUGAAAUCCUUAGCUGUCAUUAGCUAACCCUAGGCAGGACUGCUUUAUCAUUACUGUAAACAUUUACCUGGUUCCUGUAAGUCCCUUUGAAGUCAUUCCUUUGUUUUGUGUCAGGGAACUUCAAUGUACUUUGCCUGCUGUGACUUCCUACCCCUUUUAUUUUCUGUACUAUAUAAGACUGGUGUUCACUUUGUGACAAUACAUUCAGAUUUUUACCCA
rnacentral:lncRNA from 1 species